rnacentral:rRNA from 1 species
GGGGCGAGCGCGGUAGCAGUACCUGGCGCGACCGGCGGAAGGGUGCGUAACGACGUGAGCAACAUACCCGUAUCAGGGGGAGUAACCGAUGGAAACGUACGCCUAAUACCCCAUAACAACAUUCUUCGCGAUGGGGAGUGUUUGAAAGUUACGGCGGAUACGGAUUGGCUCGCGUGACAUUAGCUGGUUGGCGGGGUAACGGCCCACCAAGGCGACGAUGUCUAGGGGUUCUGAGAGGAAGGUCCCCCACACUGGAACUGAGACACGGUCCAGACUCCUACGGGAGGCAGCAGUGAGGAAUAUUGGUCAAUGGACGCAAGUCUGAACCAGCCAUGCCGCGUGCAGGAAUGAGGCCCUAUGGGUCGUAAACUGCUUUUGCUGCGGAGCAAUAAGUGCCACGUGUGACACGAUGAGAGUACGCAGCGAAUAAGCAUCGGCUAACUCCGUGCC